rnacentral:rRNA from 1 species
AAGCAUAUCAAUAAGCGGAGGAAAAGAAACCAACAGGGAUUGCCUCAGUAACGGCGAGUGAAGCGGCAAUAGCUCAAAUUUGAAAUCUGGCUCUUUCAGGGUCCGAGUUGUAAUUUGCAGAGGGCGCUUUGGCGUCGGCAGCGGCCUAAGUUCCUUGGAACAGGUCAUCAUAGAGGGUGAGAAUCCCGUAUGUGGUCGCUUGUCUUCGCCGUGUAAAGCCCCUUCGACGAGUCGAGUUGUUUGGGAAUGCAGCUCUAAAUGGGAGGUAAAUUUCUUCUAAAGCUAAAUAUUGGCCAGAGACCGAUAGCGCACAAGUAGAGUGAUCGAAAGAUGAAAAGCACUUUGGAAAGAGAGUCAAAAAGCACGUGAAAUUGUUGAAAGGGAAGCGCUUGCAGCCAGACGUGCCCGCAGUUGCUCAUCUGGGGACCCCCCAGUGCACUCUUCUGUGGGCAGGCCAGCAUCAGUCCGGGCGGUUGGAGAAAGACCUGUGUCAUGUAGCUGUUCUCGGGCAGUGUUAUAGGGCAGGUGGAAUGCAACCAGCCUGGACUGAGGUCCGCGCAUCUGCUAGGAUGCUGGCGUAAUGGCUGUAAGCGGCCCGUCUUGAAACACGGACCAAGGAGUCUAACAUCUAUGCGAGUGUUUGGGUGUCAAGCCCGAGCGCGUAAUGAAAGUGAACGGAGGUGGGAACCUUAGGGUGCACCAUCGACCGAUCCUGAUGUCUUCGGAUGGAUUUGAGUAAGAGCAUAGCUGUUGGGACCCGAAAGAUGGUGAACUAUGCCUGAAUAGGGUGAAGCCAGAGGAAACUCUGGUGGAGGCUCGCAGCGGUUCUGACGUGCAAAUCGAUCGUCAAAUUUGGGCAUAGGGGCGAAAGACUAAUCGA